ACAAGCAGUGGGAGCACAGGUUUACCUGUGUGACUGCGUACCUUUUGUAUAAUGGGUCAGCGACUUAUAUUCUGUAGCAAGGUUAACCGAAUAGGGGAGCCGGAGGGAAACCGAGUCUUAACCGGGCGUUAAGUUGCAGGGUAUAGACCCGAAACCCGGUGAUCUAGCCAUGGGCAGGUUGAAGGUUGGGUAACACUAACUGGAGGACCGAACCGACUAAUGUUGAAAAAUUAGCGGAUGACCUGUGGCUGGGGGUGAAAGGCCAAUCAAACCGGGAGAUAGCUGGUUCUCCCCGAAAGCUAUUUAGGUAGCGCCUCGUGAAUUCAUCUCCGGGGGUAGAGCACUGUUUCGGCUAGGGGGCCAUCCCGGCUUACCAACCCGAUGCAAACUGCGAAUACCGGAGAAUGUUAUCACGGGAGACACACGGCGGGUGCUAACGUCCGUCGUGAAGAGGGAAACAACCCAGACCGCCAGCUAAGGUCCCAAAGUCAUGGUUAAGUGGGAAACGAUGUGGGAAGGCCCAGACAGCCAGGAUGUUGGCUUAGAAGCAGCCAUCAUUUAAAGAAAGCGUAAUAGCUCACUGGUCGAGUCGGCCUGCGCGGAAGAUGUAACGGGGCUAAACCAUGCACCGAAGCUGCGGCAGCGACGCUGAUGCGUUGUUGGGUAGGGGAGCGUUCUGUAAGCCUGCGAAGGUGGCCUGUGAGGGUUGCUGGAGGUAUCAGAAGUGCGAAUGCUGACAUAAGUAACGAUAAAGCGGGUGAAAAGCCCGCUCGCCGGAAGACCAAGGGUUCCUGUCCAACGUUAAUCGGGGCAGGGUGAGUCGACCCCUAAGGCGAGGCCGAAAGGCGUAGUCGAUGGGAAACGGGUUAAUAUUCCCGUACUUGGUGUUACUGCGAAGGGGGGACGGAGAAGGCUAUGUUGGCCGGGCGACGGUU
rnacentral:rRNA from 1 species